rnacentral:tRNA from 1 species
GGGGAUGUAGCUCAGUGGUACAGUGCUUGCCUAGCACAUAUGAGGCACUGGGUUCAAUCCUCAGCACCACA